rnacentral:lncRNA from 1 species
CUUGGACCAGACUCAGUGAUUCAAAACAGUUUCUUGGCCACAUCCUUUCCAAUUGAAGCUGAAAAUGGGCAGAUGUGGAAACAACCCUGGACAAAGAGGGGAAAGCACCAACCUCCAUGUACUUAUUCAAACCAGAAGCCAAGGAUAAUCCUUUAGCAGUGUUGAGAAGAAAAACCUGGCCCUUGUUCUUAGCCACUUUAAUGAAGCAUCACUUGCCACAGAGAGGGGAAAAUAGCAAUUUGCAUUCUGAGAUAAUUUAAGACUAACCUUUAACUAUAUGUGCAUUAAUGUAUGGCUAAAAAUAUGUAUCAAGAUUUUAAAAUUAUUAAAGGAAGCUUACAGAUGGUAAAGAAGAUAAAUAUUUGAAAGAAAAAUUAAUCUUUGAAUAUAUAGUCUGCUCUUAACAAGAAGCACUACGUGAUUUUAUUCUUUGAUAGCAAAGGUUGUUAUAAUUAUUAAAACACUCUCACUC